UAAGUUGAAAGUUUUUUGUAGUACCUAA
rnacentral:sRNA from 1 species